CCUACGGGGGGCAGCAGUGGGGAAUAUUGCGCAAUGGGCGAAAGCCUGACGCAGCGACGCCGCGUGAGGGAUGAAGGUCUUCGGAUCGUAAACCUCUGUCAGCAGGGAAGAACGGUCACUGUGCUAAUCAGCAGUGAAUUGACGGUACCUGCAAAGGAAGCACCGGCUAACUCCGUGCCAGCAGCCGCGGUAAUACGGAGGGUGCGAGCGUUAAUCGGAAUUACUGGGCGUAAAGCGCUCGUAGGCGGUAUGUCAAGUCAAGGGUGAAAUCCCCGCGCUCAACGUGGGAACUGCCUUUGAAACUGGCAAACUGGAGUGUGUGAGAGGAUAGUGGAAUUCCAGGUGUAGGAGUGAAAGCCGUAGAGAUCUGGAGGAACAUCAGUGGCGAAGGCGACUAUCUGGCACAUAACUGACGCUGAGGAGCGAAAGCGUGGGUAGCAAACAGGAUUAGAUACCCUAGUAGUC
rnacentral:rRNA from 1 species